ACUAUUUUGGCAGAAAAAUGCAUUAAAUUUAGAAUUUAAAAAUAUAAAAUUUUAAUUUUAUAAGUAGUA
rnacentral:tRNA from 1 species